rfam:Macrostomum lignano uti_cns_0002311, whole genome shotgun sequence.
GCCAGGAUGGCCGAGAGGUUAAGGCGGUGGACUUAAGAUCCACUGGGCAAGCGCCCGCGUGGGUUCGAACCCCACUUCUGGCA